UUACCUACGGGGCGCAGCAGUGGGGGAUAUUGCACAAUGGGGGAAACCCUGAUGCGGCGACACCGCGUGGGUGAGGAAGCGCUUCGGCGUGUAAAGCCCUAUCAGUGGGGAAGAAAAAGGACGGUACCCAAAGAAGAAGCACCGGCUAAAUACGUGCCAGCAGCCGCGGUAAUACGUAGGUGGCAAGCGUUGUCCGGAUUUACUGGGUGUAAAGGGCGUGCAGCCGGAGAGACAAGUCAGAUGUGAAAUCCACGGGCUCAACCCGUGA
rnacentral:rRNA from 1 species